rnacentral:rRNA from 1 species
UACGGAAUGUGCAAACGUUAUUCGGAAUCACUGGGUUUAAAGAGUCCGUAGGCGGCAUGUUAGGUGAGGUGUGAAAUCCCCCCGGCUCAACCGAGGAAUUGCGCUUCAAACCGGCGUGCUUGAGGAAGAUAGAGGUGGGCGGAACUGAUGGUGGAGCGGUGAAAUGCGUUGAUAUCAUCAGGAACACCGGAGGCGAAAGCGGCCCACUGGGUCUUUUCUGACGCUGAGGGACGAAAGCUAGGGGAGCGAACGGG